rnacentral:RNase_P_RNA from 1 species
GCAGGGCUUACUGUUCCUGUGAAAGCUUUCACAGAACAAAAUGAUUUCUUCUUUGUGUAAUGAUGCAUUUUCUUGCAACAAAUUGUUAGCUAUGAUAAACUGAAUUGAAGCAAGUAUGAAAGACGGUUGUAGAAAAGGAAACCGCCACGUAAGUGGUAAGGGUGGAAAGGUGAGGUAAGAGCUCACCAGCAGUCUGGUAACAGGCUGGCUCGGUAAACCCCAUCCGGAGCAAGACCGAAUAGGGAAGGGUUAAGGGUGGUCCCGCCUACCUUCCGGGUUGUGUCGCUCGAGCGUGCAGGCGACUGUACGCCUAGAAAGAUAAUCGUCACCGCGCAAACGGAACAGAACUCGGCUUAUUGAUUGCUUGCUUCU